rnacentral:rRNA from 1 species
GUUUGAUCCUGGCUCAGGAUGAACGCUAGCGGGAGGCUUAACACAUGCAAGUCGAGGGGCAACAGGAGUAGCAAUACUUGCUGGCGACCGGCGCACGGGUGAGUAACGCGUAUGCAACCUACCCAUAACAGGGGGAUAGCUUUCGGAAACGGAAAUUAAUACCCCAUAGAAUUCACAGGUCGCAUGGCCCAUGGAUUAAAACUACGGUGGUUAUGGAUGGGCAUGCGUGCCAUCUGCUAGUUGGCGGGGUAACAGCCCACCAAGGCAACGAUGGCUAGGGGGUCUAAAAGGAUGAUCCCCCACACUGGUACUGAGACACGGACCAGACUCCUACGGGAGGCAGCAGUGAGGAAUAUUGGUCAAUGGGCGAGAGCCUGAACCAGCCAUCCCGCGUGCAGGAAGACGGCCCUAUGGGUUGUAAACUGCUUUUUUAUGGGAAGAAAACGCUCUACGUGUAGGGCACUGACGGUACCAUAUGAAUAAGCAUCGGCUAACUCCGUGCCAGCAGCCGCGGUAAUACGGAGGAUGCGAGCGUUAUCCGGAUUUAUUAGGUUUAAAGGGUGUGUGGGCGGACUAUUAAGUCAGUGGUGAAAUCUCAGAGCUUAACUCUGAAACUGCCACUGAUACUGAUAAUCUUGAGUACAGUUGAAGUAGGCGGAAUGUGUAAUGUAGCGGUGAAAUGCUUAGAUAUUACACAGAACACCGAUUGCGAAGGCAGCUUACUAAGCUGUUACUGACGCUGAUGCACGAAAGCGUGGGGAGCGAACAGGAUUAGAUACCCUGGUAGUCCACGCCGUAAACGAUGAUUACUCGUUGUUGGCGAUAUAUUGUCAGCGACUGAGCGAAAGCAAUAAGUAAUCCACCUGGGGAGUACGGCGGC